GAGGCCAGCGAUGAGGACUUUACCCACACAUGUUCAUGUCUCCCACUCAUGAGAUGAAUCCACAGGCACUGCCAUCCGUGGCCAC